rnacentral:rRNA from 1 species
UACAGAGGUCUCAAGCGUUGUUCGGAUUCAUUGGGCGUAAAGGGUGCGUAGGUGGCGGGGUAAGUUGGAUGUGAAAUCCCGGGGCUCAACCCCCGGAACUGCAUUCAAUACUGCCUUGCUAGAGUACUGGAGAGGAGAUUGGAAUUUACGGUGUAGCAGUGAAAUGCGUAGAUAUCGUAAGGAAGACCAGUGGCGAAGGCGGAUCUCUGGACAGUUACUGACACUGAGGCACGAAGGCCAGGGGAGCAAACGGGG